AGGUAACCCUAGGCGCCGGCCUGCAGCGGAGUUACCGCCUGAGUCGGCUGUCUCAGCCUCCUCGCACGAGGUCCAGGGUGACCGCGCGCUGAAGCCAGAGCCACCGCGGGCCUCACCAGGGCCCGAUCCUGUCAGUGCAGGGGCAAGCCGCAAGGAGCAGCAAGACGUCCUGGGAAUCGAACUUAGCUGUCAAGCUUGGCCGUUUGAAUCGCAAGAUCAUCCUUGACUGCAUAUCCAGCUCAUGGCCAGCCUGGUGGUGUACUUAACUACCUUUGGAGUCAAGCAGCUGCCAUCUGGGGGAGUUCAGCUGUGUCCACUUACAAAAGAAUUACCUUAGCUGGACUUUUUGACCGUUUACAUCCCCUCACGGAAGACCCUCACCUGAGUAUCCACUGGCUCCCUAUAAUUUAUUGUGUGCAACUCUGCCUUAAUUGCACAUGGCUUGCCUGGAGGGCAGGGGUGGGGGGAGGAGACUAGAGUACUCAGAUUAAGAAAGACUAGGAGAGAGGUCUUUAUCUAAGCAGCUAUGGGAAAACCCUUACCCUGUUGGCCAAAUCUUUUUUUUUUUUUUUUUCUCUAGGCUGGCCUCGAACUCAGAGAUCUGCCUGCCUCUGCCUCCCAAGUGCUGGGAUCAAAGGCGUGUGCCACCACUGCCCAGCUGCUGUCCACUGGCCAAAUCUUUUCUGGUACCAUCCCAUCUCUGGAGGAAGGAGAACCCACUCUCCUGUAGGUACUCCUCACCUAUGCUCUGUAAGGAAGCCCAAUAAAUUCAUUGGUUCCCCCAAAUGAAGUAUGGCAGUAGACUCAUGCCCCGGUUUGUCACUGGAAUCUUAGGUGGAGGGGUAGACAUCAUUUAUGCCCCCUCCCAUGGAAUGCUAUCAGCACACAAGGGAUUUUUAUCAACACUGCAAUAAAGGAGACCCUGUCUCAAUCAAAACAGAACACAUCACAGAAGAAGGAGAUCAGAUGGCACUCCAAGGAUGACAGUACCCCGCCUCUCUGCUUCCUCUGUAGGCCAACUUGAGUGAAUACUGGUUCUUUAGAUCACUAACAUGCCAUGCUCCUGACUUGGCUCAGGGGUGAUUUUGAUGAUAACUUCUCUCUGUGGCAAGCACAGGAUACAGUGCCACAGUGCACUACACUGAUAACAGGGAUGGCUGUGAGGGAUCAACACAGCCACAUAGCUAACACAUUGGGGACAUGCCACACUCCCUCCCUCCUGCCACUCUCUGCUCACCUUUUCUUUCUCUCAUAUAUAUAUAUUUUUUCCAUCUCAAACAAAACUUUGGGCUGGAGAGAUGGCUCAGAGCAUAAGAGCACUGUCUGCUGUUCCAGAGGCCCUGAGUUCAAUUCCCAGCAACCACAUGGUGGCUCACAACCAUCUGGAAUAGGAGCUGGUGCCCCCUUCUGACAUGUAGGUAUACAUGCAGGCGGAACACUGUACACAUAAUAAAUAAAUCUUUUUAAAAAA